rnacentral:rRNA from 1 species
GAUAAACGCUGGCGGCGUGCAUGAGACAUGCAAGUCGAACGGACGAUCGAGGCUUGCUUCGAUCGUUAGUGGCGGACGGCUGAGUAACGCGUAGGUGACCUGCCCCGAAGUGGGGAAUAACUGCCCGAAAGGGUGGCUAAUACCGCAUGUGGUGGUGUGUUCAAUCACACCAGUAAAGCCGCAAGGCGCUUCGGGAGGGGCCUGCGUCCGAUUAGCUCGUUGGUGGGGUAACGGCNCACCAAGGCGACGAUCGGUAGGUGGUCUGAGAGGACGAUCACCCAGACUGGGACUGAGACACGGCCCAGACUCCUACGGGAGGCAGCAGUCGGGAAUAUUGGACAAUGGGCGCAAGCCUGAUCCAGCAAUGCCGCGUGGAUGAAGAAGGUCUUCGGAUUGUAAAGUCC